GAUGAACGCUAGCUACAGGCUUAACACAUGCAAGUCGAGGGGAAACGCCAUCGAAAGCUUGCUUUUGAUGGGCGUCGACCGGCGCACGGGUGAGUAACGCGUAUCCAACCUGCCCAUCACUUGGGAAUAACCUUGCGAAAGUAAGACUAAUACCCAAUGAUAUCCCACGAAGGCAUCGGAAUGGGAUUAAAGAUUUAUCGGUGAUGGAUGGGGAUGCGUCUGAUUAGCUUGUUGGCGGGGUAACGGCCCACCAAGGCAACGAUCAGUAGGGGUUCUGAGAGGAAGGUCCCCCACAUUGGAACUGAGACACGGUCCAAACUCCUACGGGAGGCAGCAGUGAGGAAUAGUGGUCAAUGGGCGAGAGCCUGAACCAGCCAAGUAGCGUGCAGGAAGACGGCCCUAUGGGUUGUAAACUGCUUUUAUAAGGGAAUAAAGUGGGUCACGUGUGACUUUUUGCAUGUACCUUAUGAAUAAGGACCGGCUAAUUCCGUG
rnacentral:rRNA from 1 species